AGUGAACGCUGGCGGUAGGCCUAACACAUGCAAGUCGAACGGCAGCACAGUAAGAGCUUGCUCUUACGGGUGGCGAGUGGCGGACGGGUGAGGAAUACAUCGUAAUCUACUUUUUCGUGGGGGAUAACGUAGGGAAACUUACGCUAAUACCGCAUACGACCUACGGGUGAAAGCAGUGGAUCUUCUGACCUUGCGCGAUUGAAUGAGCCGAUGUCGGAUUAGCUAGUUGGCGGGGUAAAGGCCCACCAAGGCGACGAUCCGUAGCUGGUCUGAGAGGAUGAUCAGCCACACUGGAACUGAGACACGGUCCAGACUCCUACGGGAGGCAGCAGUGGGGAAUAUUGGACAAUGGGCGCAAGCCUGAUCCAGCCAUACCGCGUGGGUGAAGAAGGCCUUCGGGUUGUAAAGCCCUUUUGUUGGGAAAGAAAAGCAGCAGGUUAAUACCCCGCUGUUCUGACGGUACCCAAAGAAUAAGCACCGGCUAACUUCGUG
rnacentral:rRNA from 1 species